CAACUACUCCCUCUGUCCCAAAUUUCUUGUCUUAGAUUUUUCUAGAUACAGAUGUAUCUAAUACUAAAAUGUGACUUGAUACAUCCAUAUCUAGACAAAUCUAAGACAAGAAUUUUGGGACGGAGGGAGUACUUU
rnacentral:pre_miRNA from 1 species